UGGGGAAUUUUGGACAAUGGGGGAAACCCUGAUCCAGCCAUCCCGCGUGUGCGAUGAAGGCCUUCGGGUUGUAAAGCACUUUUGGCAGGAAAGAAACGUCGCGGGUUAAUACCCCGCGAAACUGACGGUACCUGCAGAAUAAGCACCGGCUAACUACGUGCCAGCAGCCGCGGUAAUACGUAGGGUGCAAGCGUUAAUCGGAAUUACUGGGCGUAAAGCGUGCGCAGGCGGUUCGGAAAGAAAGAUGUGAAAUCCCAGAGCUUAACUUUGGAACUGCAUUUUUAACUACCGGGCUAGAGUGUGUCAGAGGGAGGUGGAAUUCCGCGUGUAGCAGUGAAAUGCGUAGAUAUGCGGAGGAACACCGAUGGCGAAGGCAGCCUCCUGGGAUAACACUGACGCUCAUGCACGAAAGCGUGGGGAGCAAACAGGAUUAGAUACCCUGGUAGUCCACGCCCUAAACGAUGUCAACUAGCUGUUGGGGCCUUCGGGCCUUGGUAGCGCAGCUAACGCGUGAAGUUGACCGCCUGGGGGAGUACGGUCGCAAGAUUAAAACUUAAAUGAAUUGACGGGGGUCAU
rnacentral:rRNA from 1 species